GAGAUCCAAUACUUCAAGUGGAAGUAGGAAAAUUUCUUUCAGGUACUGAAAUGCUUUAUUUGGCUGUGUUGCAUUCUAGAAAACUUUGUGUCUACUCUGUCUCAGGAACUUUGGGUAAUGUGGAACAUGGGAACCAAUAUCAGAUCAAAUUGAUGUAUGAACAUAAUCUUCAGAGAACAGCCUGCAAUAUGACUUAUGGAUCAUUUGGUGGUGUAAAAGGGGUCCCUGCUACACCUGCUGCAGUCAGGGUGAAGCUGCAAACGCCUUUCUUCACCCUCCCUACCUCCAAGGCUGCUGCACAGAGUCGUGCGAGUUGUUUCUGCACAAGGGCAGCUGGGAGUGGGGACAA